GUAACCCGCGGAACUCGCAAAGGAACGGAGUCAUAAGAUCCGGUUCCAUUCAAAGAGCCGAUAUUCUCAUCCUUACUUGCCAUUGGUCAGUUGACGACAAUAUGACGUAACUCACUGACAUUAUGGCGGCCGUGAGUCUGUGCUAUACAGUUAUUUAUUCGCGUGAAAAUUUUGUGCAGUGUUCCCUAGUGUCAGUGGCACUGGAGCUGUGUUCACCUGGACUGGUGGGGAGGAGAGAAUGUGUUGACAGGCGUAUCUGUGAAUGUCACACUUUCUUCGUGUAAUAUGUGGGGCCAGGAGUUGGGAUACUCGGAAAACAACCUUAAUCUCUGGACAAGACCGUAGUAGACUGCGCUGAUUCACAGCCAGUACUGCUCAUUCUUGUCCCUUCUAACGUUAGCUAGCAUAUUCACUCCCGCGAAACAAAGAAGCACCCACUAAACUGUUAACAGAACAGACAAAUGCUUGAAGGAUGAAAUUCACAGAGCAUCUCUCUGCACACAUCACUCCGGAAUGGAGGAAACAAUAUAUUCAAUAUGAGGCUUUUAAAGAGAUGCUGUACUCGGCCCAGGACCAGGCUCCUUCGAUUGAAGGUAAACUCUGCCUUUCUUGCCGUUUUGUCUUUAUUUCUUUUUUUCUUUCUUUCUUUCUUUCUUUCUUUUCUUUCUCUCUUUCUUUCUUUCUUUUUGCUCGUCAUGGCAACCUCAGAGGAACAGGCCAACUUGUGUAAAACUCAGCGCCCCCUCCUUCCCUCUCAGCACGCACACACACACACACACACACACACACACACACACACACGAGAUGAGAUCCAGUCAUGCUCAGGUCCAUGUGUGUCUGGCUCACACUCCCUAUCUGAUUCACAGCUGGUGACAAACUUGCACUGGUUUUUGGCUGCAGGCCUAUAACUGUACUUUUUUUAACAGGCAAGUCAAAGAUGCCAAACAUGAUAAAUAAUGUCCUGAAAUCAGCCCGAAGCCAACAUGAUGAGUAGAUUCGUGGCCACUACCCAUCACCCAGUUCUCAGAGGGGCUACAACACAAUAAAUAUCAUGGCCGUUCGAGAAAAUCA
rnacentral:lncRNA from 1 species